rnacentral:lncRNA from 1 species
UGGGGUUGCUGUUGGACACACCGGACCUGAACCCGGGUAUUUCCUGUUUUUUCUCCCUUCCAAGGCCACCUGAUUCUUGAGAUAGUUUAGUUGACUCUGUACAUUGAGUAUCUGUCCUUCAGUUGUCAGUAGCCCAAGUAACUUUUCUUCUUGUCCUUUUUCCUUGUUUGCUUGCCGGGCCUUUCACAAUUUCCCUUACGACUCGGCAUUUCUCCAAAUCAAAUGAACCCGUUUUGGGAUAAUAUUGAUAUUUUUUUCUUUCUUUCUUUGUCCACUUAUACCAUUUCUCCAAAAAAAAAAAAAACCCACACCAGGUCCUUCUUCAGGAAUGGGUAUUUACCUUGCAGAUACGCGUAGUAUCUGGCUUCGUUGGAGUACGGUCGCUAGGAGCCUCUCUAUAUUCCGUUGCCAUGGUGUUUUAUGGUUGUUUAUUUAACGAACGAGCUGCGUGUAACGUUGGGCUAAGUGGAAUUUUUUUUUUUUCUUCUAUGUGUUGGUCCUUUUUUUUUACGUCACGUUUCCCCCCCACCUGUUUUUAAAUAUUCUACGUGGCUACUCUACCCUCUCUAUCAGUGUGUGUGUGUGGGGGGAGGAGGGUAGUUCCUGUGUGAUACAAGGAAACUCGAUUCUAUUCUAUGUAUGGUCAGUCACUUUUCUUUUAGUUUAACCCCGUUCGUUAAACCACGCUACCGUGUAGAAGGAACGACAUUAUACAUGUACUUAAUGUAAAAUAGGUUUCGCUCUCACUGGAAUAUCUACGAUCUCCGUCUAUUCUUUCAUUAUGGGUGUAUUGGUACAGAUAUUUCAUAUGUGGAUUUUAAUAAUAAUUUUUAAUAAUAAUAAUUGAUUACUAUCAAACGUUCUUUUUUUUAUAAUAAUCCAAAAUCUAAUCUCACACACCUAUUAUCGUGUUGUUGAUUUGGAUAAAACCCAUACACUAUGAUCAAAUGCUUUUAGUUCAAAAACAUUUUUUUGGGGGGGGGGCCCAUCUUCCAAUUUUCCAAUCUCACCAAUUUAUAAAUCAUACAUUUAGAACACAAUACAGAAAUAAACACAAUUAUAGUCCUCCACACAGGUCAGGACAGAAAUAAACACAAUUAUAGUCCUCCACACAGGUCAGGACAGAAAUAAACACAAUUAUAGUCCCCCACACAGGUCAGGGCAGAAUUAAACAAAAUUAUAGUCCUCCACACAGGUCAGGACAGAAAUAAACAAAAUUAUAGUCCUCCACACAGGUCAGGACAGAAAUAAACAAAAUUAUAGUCCUCCACACAGGUCAGGACAGAAAUAAACAAAACAUUGUGUACACAAAACCAGCAUUUUCAACAGGCACGACGGCCUAAACCACAGCUUUAUACCAAGUUUCACACCAGGUCCUGUAACAGUCAGAAAUUCCUAACUAUACACCCGAAAUGGUUUGUGUCCAUAGAUCAACAUUCACAUGUUAACACACCACGGGCUUCUAUAAAUAUAGGUAUCUAUCCACUUCCAUAAUAAUUUACCAACUCAGUUGAGGUGAGUUGACACUUGCAUACUGGAACGAAUCAUCAGAGACACAGUGUUUUAAAUAAAAUUAAAAUAAUCUCAGACUUUUUAGAUUAUAACAGGCGUCUGUUUACCUUGUUAAUUUGAUGUGCAAACACAGUGGGCGAUGGUCCUCCCAGCAGCAAUGGUCACUUACUCCUGGUUAGCUCGCCCAAAAAAUGUUGAAAGGGGGGAGAGAUCCUUUUGCACAGAGUGGUAUACAAGAAGUCCAGUUGGGGAAAUAUGAGAAGAACACAGGCUCCUUUAAAAAAAUUAAAAAAGUUUUUUUAAACUCUUCGUUUAGUUAUAAAUGCAAUCGCAGACAGGAGUUCACAUACAAAAGUACCUCCAGUAAUCUGUAAGGAAAGUUCUGCGAGUGAUCAAACCCAAACACUGGUCCCUAUUUUAAAUUUAUACCAGUUGAUCACACACAUAUGGUGCGAUCAGCCUACACACUUCCUAUGCUAACGCUUUUUCAUAAAAGCGGUUUUUGUACAGUCAUCUUCUAAGACACACGGAUACAUUUGAAUUUAUAACAUGAGCAGAGAACGUUGCAGCUGGAGGGGCGGGGGGGUUUCCCCCAUUGCGGUGCGUUAGUAACUUCCUG